CGGCCCUCCCGGCUGGGCGGUUCCCGGACCAGGCUCAGGGCUGUAAGGAAGGACGCCUGGGACUGCCCACCCGCGCGGCUCUGGGCCCAGGGCCCUCCCGCCGCCCCGCGGGGACCCCUUGGAGGGGCCGGGCCUGAGAAAGGCGGGAAGGAGCCCGGAGGUUUCCGGGACGGAUCUGCGCCACCGCCCACACUCGGCGGUUCAGGGAAAUUCAAAUAUAAACGUCCCUAAAAGCCACACGCGAAACUCAGAGUGUCCCCGGCCACCGCGGGCGUGGUAACCUUAUCCCCCGCUCCGCUGGAGGGCUCGGGAAACGGCCUGGAGGCCGGGACGCUGUGGAAUUACGUAAUAGGCACUUGAGUCCGAGGUUCCAAAUGCACGGCUUGCAGGUUCCAAGUACCAGCCUUUAUUUUUCUCUCCGGUGGAAAACUGUAUCAGGCAACUUCUUUCCAUGAAAGUGAGAUCUGUGCGUCUUGAAGCCGAUAGAUUAUCACAGAAAAACCAGCAACCCUGAUUUUAAAUCAUUUGCCAACAGUGUUAAUGGGCGGUUCCUAAUCCGUUUCUUAAUUUAAGGGUUUGUAAAAUCAAAAAACAGCUCAGAAAUGAUACGAUUAACAUAUGACGGUGAGUAACUACGAGAGCAAGCUGUUUCAUACUCCGUUAAAAUCAGGUACAUAAAAAUCUGAACUUGUGAAAAUUUA
rnacentral:lncRNA from 1 species